rnacentral:rRNA from 1 species
AGGACGAACGCUGGCGGCAUGCCUAACACAUGCAAGUCGAACGCUCCUGGGGCUUCGGUCUCAGGGGAGUGGCGCACGGGUGAGUAGCGCGUGGGAACCUGCCCUGUUGUGGGGGAUAACCGAGGGAAACUUCGGCUAAUACCGCAUAAGCCGGUUGUCUUGAAAGAGAUGACCGGGAAAGAUUUAUCGCGACAGGAGGGGCCCGCGUCGGAUUAGCUAGUUGGUGGGUAACGGCCCACCAAGGCAGUGAUCCGUAGCUGGUCUGAGAGGAUGAUCAGCCACACUGGGACUGAGACACGGCCCAGACUCCUACGGGAGGCAGCAGUGGGGAAUAUUGGACAAUGGGCGCAAGCCUGAUCCAGCAAUGCCGCGUGAGUGAUGAAGGCCUUAGGGUUGUAAAGCUCUUUCGCCCGCGACGAUGAUGACGGUAGCGGGAGAAGAAGCCCCGGCUAACUUCGUGCCAGCAGCCGCGGU